GGGCAAGUGGCGGAAUUGGAAUACGCCUACGGCUUAGGACCGUAUCCCUUUUAGGGUUGUGGGUUCGAAUCCCACCUUGCCCA
rnacentral:tRNA from 1 species